rnacentral:rRNA from 1 species
AGUUAAGGUGAUGACUUAACUAGCCUAAAACUCUCGUAGUCGAAGCUGAAAGGUUGAUCGACCACAUUGGGUCUGAAAAAACCCCAAUGCAAGUUAGUACAGCAGUGAGGAAUUUUGGUCAAUAGUCUAACGACUGAACUGGCAACUUGGAGAAGUGGCAAGUCCUAUUUUGAUCAUAUCUUUGAAUAUGAUCUAUAGGAUUGUAUUAAAAUUGAAUAAAGCUUUGUUUAUAUAUUGAUAAUGACAGUAUAUAUAUCGUGUCUUGACUAAUUGCGUGCCAGCAGUCGCGGUAAUACGUAAGAGACUAGUGUUAUUCAUCUUAAUUAGGUUUAAAGGGUACUUAGACGGUCAAUAUAGCUUCUAGAAUGUUAGUACUUGACUAGAGUUUUAUGUAAGAGGGCAGUACUUGAGGAGGAGAGAUGAAAUUCUAUGAUACCAAAGGGACUCGGUAAAGGCGAAGGCAGCCCUCUAUGUAAAAACUGACGUUGAAGGACGAAGGCACAGAGAACAAACAGGAUUAGAUACCCAAGUAGUCUUUGCAGUA